AGAACAUGCAGGUUGCUUGUAGAAACACACUUACAUAAAAGGAGAGAGAUUCUGGGAAGAGUGGGCCUAGCAGGAAUUUGGAAAUUUAGGGGUUUCUAGUUGGCUCUACCUGAAGCCGUGCCUUCUCCUCUCCCCUGUAUUAUCACAUCUCAGAUGAAGCAGUCUUCCUUCUCCUGCCUGAAUGAACACCAUUGAGGUUAGGACCAAUAACUGAAGCCGUAUCUUGGAUGGAAAAGAGAACACCUUCUGCAGUGGGGACCAUGUGUCCUGGCACAGCCCUUUGGAUAACAGUGAGUCAAGAAUUCAGCACAUGCUGCUGACAGAGGACCCACAGAUGCAGCCCGUGCAGACACCCUUUGGGGUAGUUACCUUCCUCCAGAUCGUUGGUGUCUGCACUGAAGAGCUACACUCAGCCCAGCAGUGGAACGGGCAGGGCAUCCUGGAGCUUCUGCGGACAGUGCCUGUUGCUGGCGGCCCCUGGCUGAUAACUGACAUGCGGAGGGGAGAGACCAUAUUUGAGAUCGAUCCACACCUGCAAGAGAGAGUUGACAAAGGCAUCGAGACAGAUGGCUCCAACCUGAGCGGUGUCAGUGCCAAGUGUGCCUGGGAUGACCUGAGCCGGCCCCCUGAGGAUGACGAGGACAGCCGGAGCAUCUGCAUCGGCACACAGCCCCGGCGACUCUCUGGCAAAGACACAGAGCAGAUCCGGGAGACCCUGAGGAGAGGACUCGAGAUCAACAGCAAACCUGUCCUUCCGCCAAUCAACCCUCAGCGGCAGAAUGGCCUCGCCCACGACCGGGCCC
rnacentral:sRNA from 1 species